rnacentral:rRNA from 1 species
UUGGAGGGCAAGUCUGGUGCCAGCAGCCGCGGUAAUUCCAGCUCCAAUAGCGUAUAUUAAAGUUGUUGCAGUUAAAAAGCUCGUAGUUGAAUUUCGGGAUCAAUAUGUCGGUCGUGCUUUUGGUACGUACUGGCAUCAUUGGUUUCUCCCUUCUGACAAACCAUGAUGUCAUUAAUUUGGUGUUAUGAGGAGUUAGGACUGUUACUUUGAAAAAAUUAGAGUGUUUAAAGCAGGCAUUAGCUUGAAUACAUUAGCAUGGAAUAAUGAAAUAGGACGUUUGACCCUAUUUUGUUGGUUUCUAGGAUCGACGUAAUGAUUAAUAGGGAUAGUUGGGGGCAUUAGUAUUCAAUUGUCAGAGGUGAAAUUCUUGGAUUUAUUGAAGACUAACUACUGCGAAAGCAUUUGCCAAGGAUGUUUUCAUUAAUCAAGAACGAAAGUUAGGGGAUCGAAGACGAUCAGAUACCGUCGUAGUCUUAACCAUAAACUAUGCCGACUAGGGAUCGGAUGAUGUUAAUUUUUUAAUGACUCAUUCGGCGCCUUACGGGAAAC